rnacentral:rRNA from 1 species
UACAGAGACUGCAAGCGUUGUCCGGAUUUAUUGGGCGUAAAGAGCGUGUAGGCGGCUUGGUAGGUCCGCUGUGAAAACUCGAGGCUCAACCUCGAGAUGUCGGCGGAAACCACUUGGCUAGAGUCCGGAAGAGGAGAGUGGAAUUCCUGGUGUAGCGGUGAAAUGCGCAGAUAUCAGGAAGAACACCUAUGGCGAAGGCAGCUCUCUGGGACGGUACUGACGCUGAGACGCGAAAGCGUGGGGAGCGAACAGG